rnacentral:rRNA from 1 species
UACGGAGGGUGCGAGCGUUGUCCGGAAUCAUUGGGCGUAAAGGGCGCGUAGGUGGCCCAGUCAGCGUGCGGUGAAAGCCCGGGGCUCAACUCCGGGUCGGCCGUGCGAACUGGGGGACUGGAGCUUGUCAGAGGCAGGCGGAAUUCCGGGUGUAGCGGUGGAAUGCGUAGAGAUCCGGAAGAACACCGGUGGCGAAGGCGGCCUGCUGGGACAGUGCUGACGCUGAGGCGCGACAGCGUGGGGAGCAAACAGG